AUGGAGGCCCGAGAGUCAGCCCCAAAAAUUUCUUGGGGGGGGGGGGGGGGGCACAGGGGGAGUGUGGCAGAGUCAGGAGUCAGACCUGAGCCAACUCCCCCCGUUUAUCGUGAGGAGAGUUCAGAACCAGAGCUGGUGUUGGAGGUGAGCGAAGCAGAGACUGUGAAGGAGUUAAUGGGGAAAUUGGAGGAGAGUGAUAUGAGGGACUUGCUGGUUUGGUGCAUGAGGCACGACAUUCGCCCGACGGAGCGUGUCAGGGAUUUAAUGGCACCGGGGUCAGCUCUCCAUACUCAUCCUGAGGUGCGUGCGAGGGGUCUGGUGAAGACUGUCAGGCCUCCUGUGCAUCUCCCUAGCCUUGCACGUCCUGUGCCAUCUCAGCACUACAGUGCUCCUAGCAGUGCUAACUGUGGCGGGCGUGGUGCUGGUCAGGCACCGUGUUAUGCAGUUGUUCGCACGGUGUCCCCAGUACGCGUGCUUAGCCCAGUGCGCUACAUCCCAGCUCCCCACAUCUGCCGGGCUAGGGUGAAGAUCCAGCCAGGGCGGUUGGUGCCAGCCCUGCUCUCAAGAUCUCCAGUACGCCUUCACGGCCCGGUCUAUCCGUCACCACCUCCACGCACCAGCCCUCCGGUGGCAGCCCCCCGUACCAGGCUGUCUCUCCGGCCCAUCCUUACAGGGGCUCCCUCCUCUCCAGCGCUGUCGGAGUCUCCCGCCUCUCCGGCGCUGCCGGAGCCUUCCUCCUCUCCAGCGCUGUCAGAGUCUCCGGCCUCUCCGGCGCUACCAGGGCCUUCCUCUUCUCCGGCGCUGCCGGAGUCUCCCGCCUGUUCGGCGCUACGAGAGCUACUCAGUCCAGCGCUGCCGGAGCUUCCCGUCUGCCCAGCGCCAGCUGAGCUUCCCGUCUGCCCAGCGCCAGCUGAGCCUCCCGUCUGCCCAGCGCCGCCAGCGCCGCCCGUCUGCCCAGCGCCGCCAGCGCCGCCCGUCUGCCCAACGCCGCCAGCGCCGCCCGUCUGCCCAGCGCCGCCAGCGCCGCCCGUCUGCCCAGCGCCGCCAGCGCCGCCCGUCUGCCCAGCGCCGCCAGCGCCGCCCGUCUGCCCAGCGCCGCCCGUCUGCCCAGCGCCGCCCGUCUGCCCAGCACCGCCAGUGCCGCCCGUCUGCCAGGAGCCGCCAGUGCCGCCCGUCUGCCAGGAGCCGCCAGUGCCGCCCGUCUGCCAGGGGCCGCCAGUGCCGCCAGUCAGCCAGGGGCCGCCAGUGCCGCCAGUCAGCCAGGUGCCGCCAGUCAGCCAGGUGCCGCCAGUCAGCCAGGGGCCGCCAGUGCCGCCAGUCAGCCAGGGGCCGCCAGUGCCGCCAGUCAGCCAGGGGCCGCCAGUGCCGCCAGUAAGCCAGGGGCCGCCAGUAAGCCAGGGGCCGCCAGUAAGCCAGGGGCCGCCAGUCAGCCAGGGGCCUCCCGAGCAGCCGCCCCUCUGUCCCGAGCAGCCGCCCCUCUGUCCCGAGCAGCCGCCCCUCUGUCCCGAGCAGCCGCCCCUCUGCCCCGAGCUGCUAUCGUCCCUCUGUCCCGAGCAGUUGUCCCUCUGUCCCGAGCUGCUGCUUCACCUCUGUCUCGAGCUGCCCCUCUGUCCCAAGCAGCCCCUCGGUCCAGUGGGGUCAUUGAGAGGGGUGGUCAUGGUGAGAAAGCCACGGAGGCGGACAAUAAGGCGGACUAAGACAAUGGUGAAGUGGGGUCCGCGUCCCGCGCCAGAGCCGCCACCGCGGACAGACGCCCACCCAGACCCUCCCCUAUAG
rnacentral:lncRNA from 1 species